CUUAUGUAAUACAUGUAUCACUAGCCACUUUAACUACGCCACUUGGUUUACAUACUCAUCUCAUAUGUAUAUACUGUACUCGAUAUCAUCUACUGUAUCUUGCCUAUGCUGCUCUGUACCAUCACUCAUUCAUAUAUCCUUAUGUACAUAUUCUUUAUCCCCUUACACUGUGUAUGAGACAGUUUUUUUGGAAUUGUUAGUUAGAUUACUUGUUGGUUAUUACUGCAUUGUCGGAACUAGAAGCACAAGCAUUUCGCUACACUCGCAUUAACAUCUGCUAACCAUGUGUAUGUGACAAAUAAAAUUUGAUUUGAUUUGAUUUGAACACAACAUAUAAUUAGUGAGCAUUUCUCCUUUGCCAAGAUAAUCCAUCCACCAGACAGGUGUGGCAUAUGGAGUAUUUCUGUCUGUAAUAAAGCAAUUUUUGGGGGGAAAAACUCAUUAUGGAUUGGCUGGGCAUGGCUCCCCAGUGGCUGGGCCUGGCUCCCCAGUGGGUGGGCCUAUGCCCCCCCAAGGCCCACCCAUGGCUUCACCCCUGCCCAGUUAAAUGAAAUCCAAAGAUUAGGGCCUUCAUUUCCAUUGACAAUAUUCCUUCCAUGAACUGUAACUCAGUAAAAUAUUUGAAAUGGUUGCGUUUAUAUGAUGAUGCGUUCACAUUUUAGUUCAGUGUACAGAGACAUAGAUAUAGGUAGAGUAGAUUCACAGGUUAUGAUGAAGACAGAGGGGGUAGAGUAGACUCACAGGUUAUGAUGAAGACAUAGAUAUAGGUAGAGUAGACUCACAGGUUAUGAUGAAGACAGAGGGUGAGAGUAGACUCACAGGUUAUGAUGAAGACAGAGGGGGUAGAGUAGACUCACAGGUUAUGAUGAAGACAUAGAUAUAGGUAGAGUAGACUCACAGGUUAUGAUGAAGACAUAGAUAUAGGUAGAGUAGAUUCACAGGUUAUGAUGAAGACAUAGAUAUAGGUAGAGUAGAUUCACAGGUUAUGAUGAAGACAUAGAUAUAGGUAGAGUAGAUUCACAGGUUAUGAUGAAGACAUAGAUAUAGGUAGAGUAGAUUCACAGGUUAUGAUGAAGACAUAGAUAUAGGUAGAGUAGAUUCACAGGUUAUGAUGAAGACAGAGGGGGUAGAGUAGAUUCAUAGGUUAUGAUGAAGACGUGUAGAUUCACUGGUUAUGAUGAUGAAGAUGAGUAGAGCGUACAGAGACCGGUGGAAAGGUAUGGAUUGCAGUUUUGGGGUCACGAUUCGGUUUUGGUAUAGGGGGAAAAUGAACAGUUUGGCUUCGGCAGUUAACUUCUGUUAACGAAAUAAGAUACACGUUGGUACUUCUGAUUCCAUAUCCACCAUAACAGGCCUGAUGAGAGCACCAUCUUCUGAAAUGAAAACACCACGACUCAUCAACACUAGGAGAAAGUGACAUGUGCAAUCAAUAUGGAAACAUGGCUCAGACAUGGAAAAGACCUGUUUUCUUACGAAGACAAACAUAUGCGCACUUGUGUGACUCAAAGGGGGUGUGUCUAUGGCACUGUAGUUCUUUCCCAGUCCGGGGUCAUGUGAUGGGCUGUCACUUAACAGUCCGGGGUCAUGUGAUUGGCUGUCACUUAAUAGUCCGGGGUCAUGUGAUGGGCCGUCACUGUGAAGUAACUGUGUAACCCUGGAGAUCCAUCCAUCUGUAGGCAGCCCAACACAGGCUGGAUUGGCCAAUUCAUUGUCAACUUCAGCUUUAACUAGCUUAUAUAUGGGUAGCCUGUAUACUGAAAUGAGUGAGAGAGUGAAGAGCCUAAUGUGGCUAGAACACUUUCACAAAGUGCAGAAACGCU
ensembl:lncRNA